AGACCCGAAACCCGGUGAUCUAGCCAUGGGCAGGUUGAAGGUUGGGUAACACUAACUGGAGGACCGAACCGACUAAUGUUGAAAAAUUAGCGGAUGACCUGUGGCUGGGGGUGAAAGGCCAAUCAAACCGGGAGAUAGCUGGUUCUCCCCGAAAGCUAUUUAGGUAGCGCCUCGUGAAUUCAUCUCCGGGGGUAGAGCACUGUUUCGGCUAGGGGGCCAUCCCGGCUUACCAACCCGAUGCAAACUGCGAAUACCGGAGAAUGUUAUCACGGGAGACACACGGCGGGUGCUAACGUCCGUCGUGAAGAGGGAAACAACCCAGACCGCCAGCUAAGGUCCCAAAGUCAUGGUUAAGUGGGAAACGAUGUGGGAAGGCCCAGACAGCCAGGAUGUUGGCUUAGAAGCAGCCAUCAUUUAAAGAAAGCGUAAUAGCUCACUGGUCGAGUCGGCCUGCGCGGAAGAUGUAACGGGGCUAAACCAUGCACCGAAGCUGCGGCAGCGAACGUAUCACUUAAAGCGAUUCAGCGGGUUACGAUUGACGGAGCGAAGCGACGUCAAAGCGUAUACAAAGUCGAGUCGGUUUAAGGAUACGUUCGUUGGGUAGGGGAGCGUUCUGUAAGCCUGC
rnacentral:rRNA from 1 species